rnacentral:rRNA from 1 species
UGCGUAGGUGGGUCUGUAAGUCAGUGGUGAAAUCUCCGGGCUUAACCCGGAAACUGCCAUUGAUACUAUAGGUCUUGAAUACUCUGGAGGUAAGCGGAAUAUGUCAUGUAGCGGUGAAAUGCUUAGAUAUGACAUAGAACACCAAUUGCGAAGGCAGCUUACUACGGGGUCAUUGACACUGAGGCACGAAAGCGUGGGGAUCAAACAGGAUUAGAUACCCUGGUAGUCCACGCCCUAAACGAUGGAUACUCGACAUCAGCGAUACACUGUUGGUGUCUGAGCGAAAGCAUUAAGUAUCCCACCUGGGAAGUACGAUCGCAAGAUUGAA